rnacentral:rRNA from 1 species
GCAAGUCGAACGAGAAGCACCUUCGGGUGUGGACAGUGGCGCACGGGUGAGGAACACGUGGAUAACCUGCCCUCUAGCGGGGGACAACCAUUGGAAACGAUGGCUAAUACCGCAUAAGACCACAGUACCUGCGGGUACAGGGGUUAAAGAUUUAUCACUAGAGGAUGGGUCCGCGUCCGAUUAGCUUGUUGGUGGGGUAAAGGCCUACCAAGGCGACGAUCGGUAGCUGGUCUGAGAGGAUGAUC